GUCUACGGCCACGCCACCCUGAACAUGCCCGAUCUCAUCCAAUCUCGGAAGCUAAGCAGGGUCGGACCUGGUUAGUACUUAGAUGGGAGACCACCUAAGAAGACCAAAAAAAGUACCACU
ensembl:rRNA 5S_rRNA 5S ribosomal RNA